UUUUAUUCCAACCAAUCAGAAAGCUGCUAAGAUCUAACGGCGCGCUACGGCGAGGUGAGUUUGUGCGCAUCACAGUGCGCAUGGUAUUAGUCUACAGUUGAAAAUUGUGGUGACAGGACGUGUUUCGCCGGCAGAAAAUUAAAUAUCGUUGUGAUAAAUUAUCGUAUGUUUAAAGUUCGAAGAUGGAAUGGCUUCGAAAGUAUAAAAGUUUUUACACACACAAACAUGUUAAAGAAAUAAUUGGACGACUUUCAUACAAAUAUGAUAAAUAGCUGAUUGCUGAAAUUACUUUAGGCGGGAAGAAGGAUUUUCAAUAUGGACGCCAUGAUGACAAUUUAUAUUUUAUAUAAAGAAAGAAGAGGUAAAAUUUAAAUUUUGGAAGAUAUAUGUAAGUACUUUUAUAUUUUUUUUAUUAAAUUAUUAAUUCCAUAAU